rnacentral:rRNA from 1 species
GCUUAACACAUGCAAGUCGAGGGGCAGCAUGCUUUUAGCUUGCUAAGACUGAUGGCGACCGGCGCACGGGUGAGUAACACGUAUCCAACCUGCCGUCUACUCUUGGACAGCCUUCUGAAAGGAAGAUUAAUACAAGAUGGCAUCAUGAGUCCGCAUGUUCACAUGAUUAAAGGUAUUCCGGUAGACGAUGGGGAUGCGUUCCAUUAGAUAGUAGGCGGGGUAACGGCCCACCUAGUCUUCGAUGGAUAGGGGUUCUGAGAGGAAGGUCCCCCACAUUGGAACUGAGACACGGUCCAAACUCCUACGGGAGGCAGCAGUGAGGAAUAUUGGUCAAUGGGCGAGAGCCUGAACCAGCCAAGUAGCGUGAAGGAUGACUGCCCUAUGGGUUGUAAACUUCUUUUAUAAAGGAAUAAAGUCGGGUAUGCAUACCCGUUUGCAUGUACUUUAUGAAUAAGGAUCGGCUAACUCCGUGCCAGCAGCCGCGGUAAUACGGAGGAUCCGAGCGUUAUCCGGAUUUAUUGGGUUUAAAGGGAGCGUAGAUGGAUGUUUAAGUCAGUUGUGAAAGUUUGCGGCUCAACCGUAAAAUUGCAGUUGAUACUGGAUAUCUUGAGUGCAGUUGAGGCAGGCGGAAUUCGUGGUGUAGCGGUGAAAUGCUUAGAUAUCACGAAGAACUCCGAUUGCGAAGGCAGCCUGCUAAGCUGCAACUGACAUUGAGGCUCGAAAGUGUGGGUAUCAAACAGGAUUAGAUACCCUGGUAGUCCACACGGUAAACGAUGAAUACUCGCUGUUUGCGAUAUACAGCAAGCGGCCAAGCGAAAGCGUUAAGUAUUCCACCUGGGGAGUACGCCGGCAACGGUGAAACUCAAAGGAAUUGACGGGGGCCCGCACAAGCGGAGGAACAUGUGGUUUAAUUCGAUGAUACGCGAGGAACCUUACCCGGGCUUAAAUUGCAGAUGAAUUACGGUGAAAGCCGUAAGCCGCAAGGCAUCUGUGAAGGUGCUGCAUGGUUGUCGUCAGCUCGCGCCGUGAGGUGUCGGCUUAAGUGCCAUAACGAGCGCAACCCUUGUUGUCAGUUACUAACAGGUUCCGCUGAGGACUCUGACAAGACUGCCAUCGUAAGAUGUGAGGAAGGUGGGGAUGACGUCAAAUCAGCACGGCCCUUACGUCCGGGGCUACACACGUGUUACAAUGGGGGGUACAGAGGGCCGCUACCACGCGAGUGGAUGCCAAUCCCAAAAACCUCUCUCAGUUCGGACUGGAGUCUGCAACCCGACUCCACGAAGCUGGAUUCGCUAGUAAUCGCGCAUCAGCCACGGCGCGGUGAAUACGUUCCCGGGCCUUGUACACACCGCCCGUCAAGCCAUGGGAGCCGGGGGCACCUGAAGUGCGUAACAACGAGGAGCGCCCUAGGGUAAAACUGGUGACU